rnacentral:rRNA from 1 species
UUUGAAAUCUGGCGUCUUUGGCGUCCGAGUUGUAAUUUGAAGAAGGUAUCUUUGGGCCCGGCUCUUGUCUAUGUUCCUUGGAACAGGACGUCACAGAGGGUGAGAAUCCCGUGCGAUGAGAUGACCCGGGUCUGUGUAAAGUUCCUUCGACGAGUCGAGUUGUUUGGGAAUGCAGCUCUAAGUGGGUGGUAAAUUCCAUCUAAAGCUAAAUAUUGGCGAGAGACCGAUAGCGAACAAGUACAGUGAUGGAAAGAUGAAAAGAACUUUGAAAAGAGAGUGAAAAAGUACGUGAAAUUGUUGAAAGGGAAGGGCUUGAGAUCAGACUUGGUAUUUUGCAUGCUGCUCUCUCGGGGGCGGCCGCUGCGGUUUACCGGGCCAGCAUCGGUUUGGAGCGGCAGGAUAAUGGCGGAGGAAUGUGGCACGGCUUCUGCUGUGUGUUAUAGCCUCUGACGAUGCUGCCAGCCUAGACCGAGGACUGCGGUUUUUAACCUAGGAUGUUGGCAUAAUGAUCUUAAGUCGCCCGUCUUGAAACACGGACCAAGGAGUCUAACGUCUAUGCGAGUGUUUGGGUGUAAAACCCGUACGCGUAAUGAAAGUGAACGAAGGUGGGGGCCCAUUAGGGUGCACCAUCGACCGAUCCUGAUGUGUUCGGAUGGAUUUGAGUAAGAGCAUAGCUGUUGGGACCCGAAAGAUGGUGAACUAUGCCUGAAUAGGGUGAAGCCAGAGGAAACUCUGGUGGAGGCUCGUAGCGGUUCUGACGU